GUUGCUGCAGGUCUACCUCGAGAACUUGCACUGGGUCUAGCAUCUCAAACUGUAUUAGGAGCAGCAUCUAUGGUUACUAUUACUGGGAAGCAUCCAGGUCAGCUAAAGGAUGAUGUAACAUCACCUGCUGGAACUACUAUUGCUGGCAUUCAUGAGCUGGAGAAGGGCGGGUUUCGUGGAAUAUUGAUGAAUGCAGUCCUCGCUGCUGCCAAACGCAGCCGAGAAUUUUCGCAGAACCAGUGACAGUGAUAUUCUUAUAUCAGAUGAGCUUUUGGCCCUUCCUUUUCAUAGCGCAGGGGAUAGAAAUCAUUUCCAGAGAAUAUUAUAGAUUCUUAUAUAUUGUCCCGUGCUACAAUAUGUUUAAUUAGAGUUUGAUUGAAAUACUGUUUUCAAGAUUGGACUACAGGUAGAAUAAGCUUAGCUAGCAAUAAUAAUAAAAAUUUCUUGAUUUUAUGUUCGUUAACAAAACAUUGGUGCAAUUCCAAGCCCAAUGCUGUCAACGGAGGCUCCUCAUGAAAUGCUUUUAACCAUAAAGAACACAAAUUAGAAGA